AACGUACAUUUACUAAUGUAAAUGAAACGUGUGCGAUACGUCGUCUAAUCGACGACGUUGUUUUAAAAUUACGGCGAUUCGUAACGAUGGAUGACACGUUUUAUUGACGGUCGACCGGAGCGUAUCGCUGAUGUGCGGUCACUGAAGAGUUUCACUCCGAUGUACCGUAUGCGCUCAUCGUACGUAAUGAUGGCCGAGUUUUGAUGUAAUAUCUUAAUAAGGCAUCUUACGGAAGAUUUGCGCUCAACAUUCUGCUCCGUUUCAUCAGAUGCGUGAGCGAAUAAUGAUGUGCGCUGUAAAAUAGCGUUCUAUCUAAUUCAAUACGAAUGCGAAGCUGAAUCGACGGCGUCAGACGUUCGACUGUAAUCGCUCUCGCACAGUGUCAUAAUCACAUUAGCGUACGAACCGUGUGCAUAAAUGCGAUCACAUAGCAUAUAAGCGCAUCGUAAGAUUGUUAUUAUACGGUCAUAGUAUAUUAAAUUGAUCUUACAACGGUUCGUGCCGUAGUUAUGACGAACUGCACAUUUGCCUCGAUGGUCGUUUUAUACGGCGUCUUGCAAAUUGUGCGAAUAUGAGAGAUCGCGUAACUGCGUUUUCUUACAUAAUGGGACGUACCGUGAGUACGAUAUCUUUCAAAGGCAAUUAUCGACUCGACUAGAGUUAAUUUUUGCUUUAGAUCACAGACAUCGUCUCGUAAGCGCGUCGUAAAAUCUACUAGCCGUGAGGUGAACGAUUUUACAGCGGUUCGUUCAUCUGUCAAACAAAACACACCAGUUUUGAAAUGAGAUCUUGCAUCUCGAGCCGAUAGCGAAAGCUUACGGUGUACUAAUUGUAACCACGCAUGAAAUACAUGAUUUCGCAACGUCCGCAAUCUUAACCGAUAUACGGACUGUUCGAAACUUGUAUAAUAUAUAUAAAAUCACCCUGAACGGUGGAUCACUUGGCUCGU
rnacentral:misc_RNA from 2 species